CGUCGUCGUCCGGCGUCGUCCGAAGACACAUUGGUUUUCGCUCUCUUACUUUAGUUUAAGUGAAUGGAUCUCUAUGAAAUUUUACCAUAAGGUUCAAUAUCACAAAAGGAAGGUUGGGAUUGAUUUUGGGGGUUAUGGUACCAACAGUUAAGGAAUUAGGGGCCAAAAAGGGGCCAAAAAUAAGCAUUUUUGUAACUUCCAGACAUAACUUGUGUGUUAGUGUAUGGAUCUCUCUGACAUUGUACCACAAGGUUCCAUAUCACACAGGGAAUGCUGGGAUUGAUUUUGGGGGUAAUUGCCUCAAAAUUUUAGGAAUUAGGGGCCAAAAAAGGGGCAAAAAACAAGCAUUUUUCUAGUUUCAUGACAAUAACUUGUGUGUAAGUGUUUGGAUAUUUCUGAAAUUGUACUACAAGGUUCCAUAUCACAAAGGGAAAGCUGGAAUUGAGUUUGGGGGUAAUUGCCCGAAACGUUUAGGAAUUGGGGACCAAAAAGGGGCCAAAAAAGACAUUUUUCUAGUUUCCAGACAAUAACUUGUGUUCAAGUGUAUGGAUCUCUCUGAAAUUGUACUGCAAGGUACCAUACCACAAAGGGAAGGCUGGGAUUGAGUUUGGGGAUGAUGAAUCAUAAGGGGGUUCAAAAAAUUUGGGGGGGGGGAUUUUUUUUUUUUUUUUCCUUUUUUUUUUCUUUUAAAAUUUUCUAUUUUAAAUUGGUUAUUUCUGAUUUAUAUUUAAAAGCAAAUAAUAAUGAUAUGGUAGGAGAUACACACUAAACAGGAUGUGUAAAUUAUUAUAUAAUAAGUAUUGUGCAAUAGCAAGAAAUUUUCUAUUGCACAAUAGCAAGAAAUCUUCAAUUGCACAGUAUUGCGCAAUAGCAAGAAAUAUCCAAUAGCACAAUAUUGCGCAAUAGCAAGAAAUUGUCAAUUGUACAGUAUUGCGCAAUAGCAAGAAAUAUUCAAUUACACAGUAUUUUGCAAAAGAAGAUACUUCGUAUAAAUUGCUUAUUUCUUGACCAAUUUCAAUGGGGUUUUAUUCUUGAAUUCUUGGGGUUCUUUAAUAUGCUGAAUCUAACCGUGUAUUAAGUUUUUGGAUUUUGGGCCCCGUUUUUAAAUUGGUCCACAUUGAGGUCCAAAGGGUCCAAAAUUAAACUUUGUUUGAUUUCAUCAAAAAUUGAAUUAUUGGGGUUCUUUGAUAUGCCGAAUCUAACCGUGUAUUUAGAUUCUUAAUUUUUGGUUCCGUUUUCAAAUUGGUCUACAUUAAGGUCCAAAGGGUCCAAAAUUAAACUAAGUUUGAUUUUAACAAAAAUUGAAUUCUUAGGGUUCUUUGAUAUGCUGAAUCUAAACAUGUAUUUAGAUUUUUGAUUAUGGGCCCUGUUUUCAAGUUGGUUCAAAUCGGGGUCCAAAAUUAAACUUUGUUUGAUUUCAACAAAAA